CGCGCCCCUCGCGCCGCGCGCGUGGCGCCCCCCCGGCCGGGCCUCCCCGAGCCCGCCCGCGGGUCUUCCCGCCCGGCUGAGGCCGCGCAGGAUGCCAGGCUUCCGCGGACUGAGAGGCUGGAGGUCCAGCGCCUCCGGCCGCCCCCACCCCUCGUGCUCCCUAGCCCGCAACUUGCCGCGGACACCCCGAGGCCGUGGCGCAGGGCAAGUGGCGGCGCCCCAGCCCCCGACGGCGCUGCGGUCCCGCGCGGACCGGCCCGUCGGGGCGACGUGCCCCCAGGGACCCAGCGCCCACCCUCUCCCUGCUCCGACCCACGAGAGAAGGGCCCCGGCGCCUCACCUCGGGCUGUGGACGGAGCCCGGAGAACCCGGUGUCGUACCCAGAUCGGUCCUGGCGUCCCGGCCGGGUGAAGCUCGCCGCUGUCGUCCGCACGUGACCGCCUGGGGCAAGAUGGCACUAGCGGAGGAACGGACGGAGCGGCUGCCCGAUCCCAGAUGGGCGCGUGUCACCGCCAGAGACGGCUGCGUCCGCCCGCCUAGCCCACGUCGGGGAUUUGGCGUGCCCUUUGCAACCUGGAAGGGCACCCAAGUGCCCCCUGUCUGCGAAGUCAGACCCAGGCCCGCCGGCGCACCCGGUGUCUCCAGGCUUCCGCAGGAGGCGCCCUGUAAAGCCGAGUUUUCCUGCCGCUCGGGGCCCUGGCGAGGGGACACAAGACGGCUGCGGAAUUCGGGCAGGAGAACUGGGGGCCCCGGCUCAGAACGGAAGCUCGAAGGUGGCUGCAAGCCGGGCCCGCAAGCCGAAGUGCCCAGGGGCGGUUAUAUUCCCCGAGCUUGCCCCUUCCCCAGCGAGCGCAGGUGCCCGUAGGACACCCCCCUCCCCACCUGCUCUGGCAAGUUCCUUUAGAAGGGAGUCCCCGCGCCACGGAGACCCGGGAGUGCCCGGACCCAGGAGUGUCGGGGAAGAGGUCUCAACUGGGCGCCGAUGGCUCCUGCCUUUCAGCGAGGAGGAGGUGCCCCGCCGCAGGAAGGAUGUCUGGGGUGCCGGACGAGGGCUCAGGCCACUUCCCACCGACCUCAGCACCGCGCUGGAAAUAUUACCCCACUUUACAGACAAACUUGCUCAAAGUCACGCUGAUGCUUGGAUUUGAAUCCAGAUUUCGUUUUGUUACUACCACUAUAAAAACAAUAUGAGACAACCAGAGAGAAAGAAAAAUGUGAGAAUAAAG
rnacentral:lncRNA from 1 species